GCGCGUGUGUAUCUGUAUGGCUUCACAGGGGUGCAGCCUGCUAUGUUUUGUCGAACACAAGUGAGGCUGGAGGCUGAACACACCUGCGGCGCGAAGGUGUCACCACUUCGUCCACAAGAUCAUCCACAAUCGUAGAGACAUGGUUCAUGAUCGGAGAGACAUUGUUGAGGAUGAGGGAGACAUCGUCCACGAUCAGAGACGUUGUCCAUGAUUGCAGAGACCUUGUCAAAGAUGAGAGAGACGUUGUCCAUGAUCAGAGCCAUUGUCCCAUGCUUCGUAGAGACCUUGCGAUAGAAUCGGCGGAGACGGGGGUCACCGAUUUGACGGCACUGCCCGCGAUCAUGGAGACAUUGUCAAUGAUCACAGAGACAGCGUCUAUGAUCUCAGAGACAUCGUCCACAAUCACAAAGACAUUGUCCAUGAUCGCAGAGACUUUGUCCAUAAUCUCAGAGACAUUGUCCGUGAUCACAGAGACCUAGUCCGCGAUCACAGAGAGCCUUUGACCAAGACAAAGGCCUCCAGGUGUCACCACUUCGUCCACAAGAUCAUCCACAAUCGUAGAGACAUGGUUCAUGAUCGGAGAGACAUUGUUGAGGAUGAGGGAGACAUCGUCCACGAUCAGAGACGUUGUCCAUGAUUGCAGAGACCUUGUCAAAGAUGAGAGAGACGUUGUCCAUGAUCAGAGCCAUUGUCCCAUGCUUCGUAGAGACCUUGCGAUAGAAUCGGCGGAGACGGGGGUCACCGAUUUGACGGCACUGCCCGCGAUCAUGGAGACAUUGUCAAUGAUCACAGAGACAGCGUCUAUGAUCUCAGAGACAUCGUCCACAAUCACAAAGACAUUGUCCAUGAUCGCAGAGACUUUGUCCAUAAUCUCAGAGACAUUGUCCGUGAUCACAGAGACCUAGUCCGCGAUCACAGAGAGCCUUUGACCAAGACAAAGGCCUCCAGGUGUCACCACUUCGUCCACAAGAUCAUCCACAAUCGUAGAGACAUGGUUCAUGAUCGGAGAGACAUUGUUGAGGAUGAGGGAGACAUCGUCCACGAUCAGAGACGUUGUCCAUGAUUGCAGAGACCUUGUCAAAGAUGAGAGAGACGUUGUCCAUGAUCAGAGCCAUUGUCCCAUGCUUCGUAGAGACCUUGCGAUAGAAUCGGCGGAGACGGGGGUCACCGAUUUGACGGCACUGCCCGCGAUCAUGGAGACAUUGUCAAUGAUCACAGAGACAGCGUCUAUGAUCUCAGAGACAUCGUCCACAAUCACAAAGACAUUGUCCAUGAUCACAGAGACUUUGUCCAUAAUCUCAGAGACAUUGUCCGUGAUCACAGAGACCUAGUCCACGAUCACAGAGAGCCUUUGACCAAGACAAAGGCCUCCAGGUGUCACCACUUCGUCCACAAGAUCAUCCACAAUCGUAGAGACAUGGUUCAUGAUCGGAGAGACAUUGUUGAGGAUGAGGGAGACAUCGUCCACGAUCAGAGACGUUGUCCAUGAUUGCAGAGACCUUGUCAAAGAUGAGAGAGACGUUGUCCAUGAUCAGAGCCAUUGUCCCAUGCUUCGUAGAGACCUUGCGAUAGAAUCGGCGGAGACGGGGGUCACCGAUUUGACGGCACUGCCCGCGAUCAUGGAGACAUUGUCAAUGAUCACAGAGACAGCGUCUAUGAUCUCAGAGACAUCGUCCACAAUCACAAAGACAUUGUCCAUGAUCGCAGAGACUUUGUCCAUAAUCUCAGAGACAUUGUCCGUGAUCACAGAGACCUAGUCCGCGAUCACAGAGAGCCUUUGACCAAGACAAAGGCCUCCAGGUGUCACCACUUCGUCCACAAGAUCAUCCACAACCGCAGAGACAUGGUUCAUGAUCAGAGAGACAUUGUUGAGGAUGAGGGAGACAUCGUCCACGAUCAGAGACGUUGUCCAUGAUUGCAGAGACCUUGUCAAAGAUGAGAGAGACGUUGUCCAUGAUCAGAGCCAUUGUCCCAUGCUUCGUAGAGACCUUGCGAUAGAAUCGGCGGAGACGGGGGUCACCGAUUUGACGGCACUGCCCGCGAUCAUGGAGACAUUGUCAAUGAUCACAGAGACAGCGUCUAUGAUCUCAGAGACAUCGUCCACAAUCACAAAGACAUUGUCCAUGAUCGCAGAGACUUUGUCCAUAAUCUCAGAGACAUUGUCUGCGAUCACAGAGACCUAGUCUGCGAUCACAGAGUGUCUUUGACAGUGAAGAAGUUCAUUGAGACCAGGACAGAGGCCACCAGGUGUCACCACUUCGUCCACGACAUCGUCCACGAUCGCAGAGACAUGGUCCAUGAUCGGAGAGACAUUGUUGAGGAUGAGGGAGACAUCGUCCUCGAUCAGAGACAUUGUCCACGAUCGCAGAGACCUUGUCAAAGAUGAGAGAGACGUUGUCCAUGAUCAGAGACAUUGUCCCAUGCUUCGU